rnacentral:rRNA from 1 species
UGGGGAAUAUUGCACAAUGGGCGCAAGCCUGAUGCAGCCAUGCCGCGUGCAUGAAGAAGGCCUUCGGGUUGUAAAGUACUUUCAGCGGGGAGGAAGGUGUUGUGGUUAAUAACCUCAGCAAUUGACGUUACCCGCAGAAGAAGCACCGGCUAACUCCGUGCCAGCAGCCGCGGUAAUACGGAGGGUGCAAGCGUUAAUCGGAAUUACUGGGCGUAAAGCGCACGCAGGCGGUCUGUCAAGUCGGAUGUGAAAUCCCCGGGCUCAACCUGGGAACUGCAUCCGAAACUGGCAGGCUUGAGUCUUGUAGAGGGGGGUAGAAUUCCAGGUGUAGCGGUGAAAUGCGUAGAGAUCUGGAGGAAUACCGGUGGCGAAGGCGGCCCCUGGACAAAGACUGACGCUCAGGUGCGAAAGCGUGGGGAGCAAACA